rnacentral:rRNA from 1 species
CACGUAGGGGGCAAGCGUUGUCCGGAUUCAUUGGGCGUAAAGAGCUCGUAGGCGGUUCGAUAAGUCGGGUGUGAAACCUCCAGGCUCAACCUGGAGACGCCACCCGAUACUGCUGUGGCUAGAGUCCAGUAGGGGAGCGUGGAAUUCCUGGUGUAGCGGUGAAAUGCGCAGAUAUCAGGAGGAACACCAGCGGCGAAGGCGGCGCUCUGGGCUGGAACUGACGCUGAGGAGCGAAAGCGUGGGGAGCGAACAGG